rnacentral:rRNA from 1 species
AUACGUAGGGUGCGAGCGUUGUCCGGAAUUACUGGGCGUAAAGAGCUCGUAGGUGGUUUGUCGCGUCGUCUGUGAAAUUCCGGGGCUUAACUCCGGGCGUGCAGGCGAUACGGGCAUAACUUGAGUACUGUAGGGGAGACUGGAAUUCCUGGUGUAGCGGUGAAAUGCGCAGAUAUCAGGAGGAACACCGGUGGCGAAGGCGGGUCUCUGGGCAGUAACUGACGCUGAGGAGCGAAAGCAUGGGUAACGAACAGGAUUAGAUACCCUGGUAGUCCAUGCCGUAAACGGUGGGCGCUAGGUGUAGGGGUCUUCCACGACUUCUGUGCCGUAGCUAACGCAUUAAGCGCCCCGCCUGGGGAGUACGGCCGCAAGGCUAAAACUCAAAUGAAUUGACGGGG